AUUGAACGCUGGCGGCAUGCCUAACACAUGCAAGUCGAACGGUAACGACGGGAGCUUGCUCCCGGGCGACGAGUGGCGGACGGGUGAGUAACACUUAGGAAUCUGCCCAGUAGUGGGGGACAACCAGGAGAAAUCCUGGCUAAUACCGCAUACGCACUACGGUGGAAAGUGGGGGACCUUCGGGCCUCACGCUAUUGGAUGAGCCUAAGUCGGAUUAGCUUGUUGGUGAGGUAAAGGCUCACCAAGGCGACGAUCCGUAGCUGGUCUGAGAGGACGAUCAGCCACACUGGGACCGAGACACGGCCCAGACCCCUACGGGAGGCAGCAGUGGGGAAUAUUGGACAAUGGGCGCAAGCCUGAUCCAGCAAUGCCGCGUGUGUGAAGAAGGCCUGCGGGUUGUAAAGCACUUUCAGUAGAGAAGAAAAGCCUAGGGUUAAUACCCCUGAGUCUUGACGUAACCUACAGAAGAAGCACCGGCUAACUCCGUG
rnacentral:rRNA from 1 species